UCAUGUGAUGGCGGAUUGUUGUGUUGAGUGGUUGUCAAAAAGCUUUCCUAUUUUUCCAUGAAAAUUACCGAUGAAUUCAUAAGUAAAUUCAAGUUCGUUUCUGUGCAACUUGUUUGUGAUGUGAUUUAUUCCGUAUGUGUGCUGGAUAAAAUUCAAAAUUCCUCAAUCUAACCUGUAGGAAGGAACGGGAAAAGAAACAGUGCAUAUUCGUCUAAUUAUCAGCAGUUUCUAUCAAUUGAUCUUGGUAGGGCUAGGGUACUACCCCACUGUGGACAUGUUUGUUUUUCUGAACAUGUUUUUCAACAAAUAAUUCAUUGAUGUACAAGUAUUAUUCUUCUUUCGGUUUUAAACUGUUAUUUGAUGUCAUAGAUUGUAUUUCCUGUCAUAGGGAAAGCUAUGAAAAAUAUCAUCUAGGGUAAUCUUCAGGUUUUAGCAGCAGCUUAAAAGAAGAAUGUGAACAAAUGCAGGGCACAUACCAACAUGUGCUGUAUUUUUCUGAAUGUUAAUAAACACGAGCAGUAGAUUUAUCAUGACUAACUGUUUGAUGCCAAAGUUAGUUGGAACUCAACUCACUGUAUCUGUAUGUACUCUAACAAAGAUAACUGGUGCUGUUGCCUUAUAUCCACAGGCAGGAAAAUCAUUCUUUUUUUCAGAAAAUUGUAAGUUUAAUUUUUUGUCUUGACCACCCAACACUUUCUGUUAAUAUUAUAGAUUUUUAUGUUGAAAGAGUUAAAAAGUCUGAAAAGCUUACUAGUAACUAAAAACUUUGUGUAUUUGUGCCAUAGGGAUAGCUGCUAGAGUAAUCUGGUGUUCAUGUUCAUUUGAUUCAUUUCGUGACAGCUAGUGAAAGCCGAAAGGCAUGUUGAUAAGCAAUCCAGCCGUUGCGUUCAGUCAUUUGGAACAGGAAUCUAAUGGCUGUCAAUAGUGGCUGAAAUUAUGUCCACCAGAUAGCGCGAGUGCCUUCAGCAGUGACGCACAGCGGCCAUUUUGUUCCCAGAACGCAACAGAAAUGGGUUGUUGGUUGUGACGUUUCUCACGAUGAAAAAUUAAAAGGUGAUUUAGCAUGUAGAAACCAAUUUGCCAAAUCAUUCAACUCAGACUUGGAAGUGCCUGUACAUUACAUUGCCGAAAUGGCGUGCCUCGUGUGUCUUGCUGCCUGUUCUUAGGCGUACGUCUCACCCCAUGCAACAGCAAAAAGUAUAACAAACACUUUUAAAUGCUGUUGGUUACCUUGUUUAAGCCAAAUGGUGAAAGGUGUGACGAAGACAGAUUGAACCAUUGUAUGCAGCAUGCGGUUGCAGUGUAAUCCAGAACCAGAAGUUACUGUGCGGUUGUAGCUGAGCUGUUCCAUUCAUGACUUAAACAUUUUUGUGUUUUCAUCCGUGUCUAUAUUUUGUGUUGCUGAGUUAUAAGUGUGAUCUGUUGUCUUUUGAGUUUUCAUUCAAUCAUGCAGUAUAUGACUGAGGCAACCUGAUCAAUAUCAGGUUUGACACAGUCGAGAACUGCUAGAUUAAACAAGCUUUCUGCGCCAAACAAAUAAUAACUUGCAUAUAACUUGCAUCAUGUUAUUAUCACGGUAGAGAAAGCAACAGGCCCCCCCCCUCCUGGGGGCCACAGGAAAAAUAUGUGUAAAAUUAUAAAUUGUAUAAAUUUUUGUUAUAAAUAAAAUUUGUAUAUAAUAAAAUUUUCAAA
rnacentral:lncRNA from 1 species